rnacentral:rRNA from 1 species
GACGAACGCUGGCGGCGUGCUUAACACAUGCAAGUCGAACGGUAAGGCCCUUCGGGGUACACGAGUGGCGAACGGGUGAGUAACACGUGGGUGAUCUGCCCUGCACUUCGGGAUAAGCCUGGGAAACUGUGUCUAAUACCGGUUAGGACCCUGGGAUGCAGGUCCUGGGGUGGAAAGCUUUUGCGGUGUGGGAUGGGCCCGCGGCCUAUCAGCUUGUUGGUGGGGUGAUGGCCUACCAAGGCGACGACGGGUAGCCGGCCUGAGAGGGUGACCGGCCACACUGGGACUGAGAUACGGCCCAGACUCCUACGGGAGGCAGCAGUGGGGAAUAUUGCACAAUGGGCGCAAGCCUGAUGCAGCGACGCCGCGUGAGGGAUGACGGCCUUCGGGUUGUAAACCUCUUUCAGCACCGACGAAGCGCAAGUGACGGUAGGUGCAGAAGAAGGACCGGCCAACUACGUGCCAGCAGCCGCCGUAA